AGUGAACGCUGGCGGCAGGCCUAACACAUGCAAGUCGAACGGCAGCACGGCAGUAGCAAUACUGUGGGUGGCGAGUGGCGGACGGGUGAGGAAUACAUCGGGAUCUACCCUGUUGUGGGGGAUAACGUAGGGAAACUAACGCUAAUACCGCAUAAGAACUGAGGUUGAAAGCGGCGGACCGCAAGGCGUCGCGCGAUUGGAUGAACCGAUGUCCGAUUAGCUAGUUGGCGGGGUAAAGGCCCACCAAGGCGACGAUCGGUAGCUGGUCUGAGAGGACGACCAGCCACACUGGAACUGAGACACGGUCCAGACUCCUACGGGAGGCAGCAGUGGGGAAUAUUGGACAAUGGGCGCAAGCCUGAUCCAGCCAUGCCGCGUGGGUGAAGAAGGCCUCGGUUGUAAG
rnacentral:rRNA from 1 species